rnacentral:lncRNA from 1 species
CCCCCCCCCCCCUUUCCUUUGCGCUGUUUAGUAGCUGGGGCUGCUGAUUACUUGGUUCCUUUUCGAAUUACCCCCUCCCCCCCCCCCCAAUUCUGGGAUCCGCCCCUACCCCUUUGACUUUAUUCAUCCAUUUCAAACAUUUCCCGGUUUGGGGGGGCUCCUUCCCUGUUUCACUGCGAUUCUGCCUCGGAGACUCGCGAGCUGUGCGACUCCAGUCAAGUCACUGGGCCUUUGCUGCUGACGGGGCCAGUAAAUAGUGCCUCCCUGCCAGAGGCCGGCUGGCGAGGAGCUUCCUUUGGGACCGCGUUUGACUCCCCUAGAGCAGGCCCGAGUCAGAGGCGACCUGGGACGGCGAGAAAAGCUCUCUGCUGCAAAGGAAUCUGGAACAGGGGGGGCGGGGAAGUUCGUUCCGCGAGUCACCCUGGGGGAGCCAGAGCCUCCCUCCCUCCCGGGGAAUAUGCGGGAGAGGGGAACACGCCUGCGCCGACGCGGACAGCCGAGGGGGGGCAGCCGAGGGCUGGAGGAGUCGGAGGAGGAUGGCGGCUCUGCAGCCGCUGCUGCUCACCUUGGCUUGGGCUGGACUUCUCCCAGCGGCGACCCAUGGCGCGGUCAUUGCCCAGCCCCAGACCCUGUCCUUCUCUUGGAACCUUGGGCAAAUGGCAAGGGCCCUGCAGUCGCACUGGCCACCACAUUCCCCCAAGGCAGCCCUGCUGGCCCAGGCCCUAGAGCGGCUCCUGGAGGCAGAGGCUGGGUGGCAGGAAUGGGAACGGGAGACCAAGGCUGAAGCUGCUGCCCUGGCCCGGCUCCUCUUGCGUCUGUGGAGCAGCUCCCAUCUGGAGCCUGAGGCCAACCUGGAGGAGGUGGUGGUACCUGGUCUCAAGGUCCAGGCCAAGGAUGAGGCAGCAGUUUCCAACCAGGAACUACUACUCAGGUACCAGGGGAGGGAAGGUGGUUGGGCAUGGGGAGAGCUUGAGCUGAUGGCACUGGAGACUUCUAAAUCUCUCCAUGCACAGAUUCCUGUUGGCCAAGAUGGCAGAGGCCAGAAACACUCCCACCUCCAUGUGGGGGGAAGCCUGGCCACUUCAGCGGCACCGUCUGCGCCGGGACCUGGGGCCAGCUCCUGGGUCAGUGGCUCAGGGGUAUACACUGCUCCGCCUGAACAAGGACAGGGCUCAUGUCCAGCGAGGGGCACCGCUUGCUCCCACCCGCUACUGGCCAGAGUGACAGGGACUCCGACCACUUUGGGGUCCUGGAUUCCUGUCUCUUCCUCCAUCGUGCAUGUUUGGCCCCAAGGCACCUAA